ensembl:lncRNA
CCCCCGAGUCCUGGUGCACAUGCACACAAUUACACACAGAGGGAGUCACUGUGCAGCUGUGACGGCUGGACAACACACACACACACACACAGGAGGUGUGUAACGGAUUGAACCCCCCCUCAUAGCUGCGCUGUCUUCGAGGUCGCAGGCGGAUGAGACCACAGCUGCUUGGACAUAAAUUUCCAAAAGGAAUGUCGGAGCACUCGGCAUAAAAACCAAGACUGUGUGUGUGUGUGUGUGUGUGUGUGUGUGUGUGUGCAGGAGGAGGAGGAGGAGGAGUGUGUGUGUGUGUGUGUGAGGAGGAGUGUGUGUGUGUGUGCAGGAGGAGGAGGAGGAGGAGUGUGUGUGUGCAGGAGGAGGAGUGUGUGUGUGUGUGUGUGCAGGAGGAGUAGUGUGUGUAGGAGAAGGAGUGUGUGUGUGUGUGCAGGAGGAGAUGUGUGUGUGUAGGAGAAGGAGUGUGUGUGCAGGAGGAGGAGUGUGUGUGUGUGCGUGUAGGAGAAGGAGUGUGUGUGUGUGUGUGCAGGAGGAGUAGUGUGUGUAGGAGAAGGAGUGUGUGUGUGUGUGCAGGAGGAGAUGUGUGUGUGUAGGAGAAGGAGUGUGUGUGUGUGUGUGAGUGUGUGCAGGAGGAGGAGUGUGUGU